rnacentral:rRNA from 1 species
AGUCGAGCGAGCAGAACCAGCAGAUUUACUUCGGUAAUGACGCUGGGGACGCGAGCGGCGGAUGGGUGAGUAACACGUGGGGAACCUGCCCCAUAGUCUAGGAUACCACUUGGAAACAGGUGCUAAUACCGGAUAAUAAAGCAGAUCGCAUGAUCAGCUUAUAAAAGGCGGCGUAAGCUGUCGCUAUGGGAUGGCCCCGCGGUGCAUUAGCUAGUUGGUAAGGUAACGGCUUACCAAGGCAAUGAUGCAUAGCCGAGUUGAGAGACUGAACGGCCACAUUGGGACUGAGACACGGCCCAAACUCCUACGGGAGGCAGCAGUAGGGAAUCUUCCACAAUGGACGCAAGUCUGAUGGAGCAACGCCGCGUGAGUGAAGAAGGUUUUCGGAUCGUAAAGCUCUGUUGUUGGUGAAGAAGGAUAGAGGUAGUAACUGGCCUUUAUUUGACGGUAAUCAACCAGAAAGUCACGGCUAACUACGUGCCAGCAGCCGCGGUAAUACGUAGGUGGCAAGCGUUGUCCGGAUUUAUUGGGCGUAAAGCGAGCGCAGGCGGAAGAAUAAGUCUGAUGUGAAAGCCCUCGGCUUAACCGAGGAAUUGCAUCGGAAACUGUUUUUCUUGAGUGCAGAAGAGGAGAGUGGAACUCCAUGUGUAGCGGUGGAAUGCGUAGAUAUAUGGAAGAACACCAGUGGCGAAGGCGGCUCUCUGGUCUGCAACUGACGCUGAGGCUCGAAAGCAUGGGUAGCGAACAGGAUUAGAUACCCUGGUAGUCCAUGCCGUAAACGAUGAGUGCUAAGUGUUGGGAGGUUUCCGCCUCUCAGUGCUGCAGCUAACGCAUUAAGCACUCCGCCUGGGGAGUACGACCGCAAGGUUGAAACUCAAAGGAAUUGACGGGGGCCCGCACAAGCGGUGGAGCAUGUGGUUUAAUUCGAAGCAACGCGAAGAACCUUACCAGGUCUUGACAUCUAGUGCCAUCCUAAGAGAUUAGGAGUUCCCUUCGGGGACGCUAAGACAGGUGGUGCAUGGCUGUCGUCAGCUCGUGUCGUGAGAUGUUGGGUUAAGUCCCGCAACGAGCGCAACCCUUAUUAUUAGUUGCCAGCAUUAAGUUGGGCACUCUAAUGAGACUGCCGGUGACAAACCGGAGGAAGGUGGGGAUGACGUCAAGUCAUCAUGCCCCUUAUGACCUGGGCUACACACGUGCUACAAUGGGCAGUACAACGAGAAGCGAGCCUGCGAAGGCAAGCGAAUCUCUGAAAGCUGUUCUCAGUUCGGACUGCAGUCUGCAACUCGACUGCACGAAGCUGGAAUCGCUAGUAAUCGCGGAUCAGAACGCCGCGGUGAAUACGUUCCCGGGCCUUGUACACACCGCCCGUCACACCAUGGAAGUCUGCAAUGCCCAAAGCCGGUGGCCUAACCUUCGGGAAGGAGCCGUCUAAGGCAGGGCAGAUGACUGGGGUGAAGUCGUAACAAG